rnacentral:rRNA from 1 species
GACGAACGCUGGCGGCGUGCUUAACACAUGCCAGUCGAACGGAAAGGCCCUGCUUUUGUGGGGUGCUCGAGUGGCGAACGGGUGAGUAACACGUGAGUAACCUGCCCUUGACUUUGGGAUAACUUCAGGAAACUGGGGCUAAUACCGGAUAGGAGCUCCUGCUGCAUGGUGGGGGUUGGAAAGUUUCGGCGGUUGGGGAUGGACUCGCGGCUUAUCAGCUUGUUGGUGGGGUAGUGGCUUACCAAGGCUUUGACGGGUAGCCGGCCUGAGAGGGUGACCGGCGACAUUGGGACUGAGAUACGGCCCAGACUCCUACGGGAGGCAGAAGUGGGGACUAUUGCACAAUGGGCGGAAGCCUGAUGCAGCAACGCCGCGUGCGGGAUGACGGCCUUCGGGUUGUAAACCGCUUUCGCCUGUGACGAAGCGUGAGUGACGGUAAUGGGUAAAGAAGCACCGGCUAACUACGUG